UUUUUAAUGACAGUAUGCUUUGUGCUUGUGUCGUAAAAAUACAAUGGAAUAAAGAGAAAAUAUUAAAUUUGUUUUUGGAAAAACAUUGGGAAAACAUUUAGUGAGACGUCCGACCUGAUGCAAAGUGUAUGGUGAUGAUUGCUUAGCUCGUUCAAAAGUUCAUAAGUGGUUUAACGAUUUAAAAAUGGACGUGAAGAAACCAAAAAUAUUGUGUUUUCAGAAGCAUCAAGACAAUGUUAAACAUGCGAUUUCAAGGUUUUACAUCGUUUGUGGUCUAUAAAUGCUCGUGUUAGACUUGAAUAUCAAGGGUGGAAACAGCUGUUUUUAUUGCAUGAUAAUGCAACAUCUCACAAAGCCCAAAAAGUUCGUGAAUUUUUAUUUCUGCUGAAAAUAGUAUGAUGCGUGUUUUAUUCUAUAUCUUAAAAAUAAUAUUCAAGAAGAACGCAGUAGAACCAGACGACUCGACUAGGAAAAACUCUGAGUGAACCCAGCAAAGCGGUGACAUUUGCAGGAUUUUUAUGAACUUGGGGGAAGAAAGCAAGGAAGGAAAAUUUCUAAGCCUAUGUAUUAAUUGCGGAAACCUACACAGUAUAUCUGAAUUCUCUAAUAUUUACAGUAUUGAAGCCACAAGCAAACCUUACAUAAAAUCUAUUUUAUCGAUAAUAAGGAAAUAUGAUGAGGGAUCGAAAAAAAUGUAUACACUGUAUAUACUGAUUUAUAAAACGGAGUGGUACACUCACUCUCGUAGAGAAGUUGUUAUGCAAAAUGUUUCACGCUAUACUUUCUAAUCCACAUAAAUUUCCGGUAAAUUAAAAAUUGUUAUGGAAUAUUUACUGGGACGCGUUCCAAUUUUUACAGCAAAACCAAUGCUUUAUUAACACAACAAAUUAAAAUUUUUAAUACUGUAUUUAAAAUGC